GAGAAUUUUAGUACAUUUACAAACCCAUUCCAAAUUCAAGUAUUCUUAGCCAACAAAUUCUCCGAAGUUUCUAAUAAUUCUAUCAGACUACACUUUUAAUCAAAAGCUGUACAUUUGGCAACUACAUUUACCAAUAGCUAACCUACUGAUACAUUUUUAUCAUGUACAACUAUGUAUGUACAUAUAUUUAUAUAUCCAAUAAUAACUAAUCAUGCAUAAGGCAGCAAUGAUGAUUCCUGGAAUGCCUAUUUUGUUGAAUGACCAAAAUUGAACCACUGAUGUUGAAUUCCGAAGAUGCCAGGAGAUCUCCAACGGUCCCCAGCUCUGGACACUCUUCCCAGUCACUCAAACCUGUUGUCAUGGGUGAGUACCCUCGUGCACCCUUCCCUAUUAUGAUCAAUGAAUACAUCUCCUUAAUUUCAUUUAGAACCUCCAGUGUUUCCAGCCCAUUGUUGACAUGCUUCUCCAAAUAUCGAACUUUACCCGACGAAACAUAUCUAAACAGAAAAUCAGUCAUGUAACAGAAGGCAACAAAUAGCACUUAAGAUCAGUUUGGUAUUGUUGUUUACAAUGUUAAGAAAAAUCCCACCUUUAAAUUUGUCAUUUAUAGGCUUAAAUUUCUAGGGUUAAGUUUGCUACAGGAUAUAUACCUUUUGCAGAAAUCUUCCAUGGAGACAUUGUCUAUUGCAUUCUCAACCUCAGAGGCUGAUAUUGUCAGAAGUACUUCAUCAUUGCUGAUGGAUGCAUUAUCUUGCUCUCCCAAUGUCGCUUGUUGGAAGCGGAUGACAGUCAAAUUAAUACGAGGGUGACAGGCAAUUCUUUUGCUAAAUGCCAAUGCUUCACGAUCAUCAGGGCCUCCGAAAAAUAAUGUUACUACAUUCUGCUCCACUUCAGGGUUAGGCUGUUGAAAGCCAGUCUGACCUUUAUCCACAAAGAUCCCAAUCGAGCACCGGGCAUGACGAAGAAUCUUCUGAUUAUUCAUUCUAACACCUUCCUUACUGAUUUCCAUUUUCCCAUCAAGGCGUUGAUGCUUGUGAUAAGUGAGGAUUAGAAUAGAUACGCGGAAGUCCUCAACGCUGUUGCAGACAUUCUCAAACAUGGCUGCAAAGGAUGAAACAACUUUUUUAAUGUAAACAAUAACUUUAGUCUCUGUACUGAAAUUAUCUACAGCAUCAUUUAUCUCUAGCACAUCAUUUCCACCA
rnacentral:misc_RNA from 1 species